rnacentral:rRNA from 1 species
CCAAUAGCGUAUAUUAAAGUUGUUGCAGUUAAAAAGCUCGUAGUUGAAUUUCGGGAUCAAUGCGUCGGUCGUGCCACGCGUACGUACUAACGUCAUUGAUUCCUCCUUUCUGACGAACCGUGAUGUCAUUAAUUUGGUGUUACGGGGAGUUAGGACUGUUACUUUGAAAAAAUUAGAGUGUUUAAAGCAGGCUCACGCUUGAAUACAUUAGCAUGGAAUAAUGAAAUAGGACGUUCGAUCCUAUUUUGUUGGUUUUUAGGAUCAACGUAAUGAUUAAUAGGGAUAGUUGGGGGCAUUAGUAUUCAAUUGUCAGAGGUGAAAUUCUUGGAUUUAUUGAAGACUAACUACUGCGAAAGCAUUUGCCAAGGAUGUUUUCAUUAAUCAAGAACGAAAGUUAGGGGAUCGAAGACGAUCAGAUACCGUCGUAGUCUUAACCAUAAACUAUGCCGACUAGGGAUCGGAUGAUGUUAAUUUUUUAAUGACUCAUUCGGCGCCUUACG